AGAACGACUCUCGGCAACGGAUAUCUCGGCUCUUGCAUCGAUGAAGAACGUAGCGAAAUGCGAUACUUGGUGUGAAUUGCAGAAUCCCGUGAACCAUCGAGUCUUUGAACGCAAGUUGCGCCCCAAGCCUUCGGGCCGAGGGCACGUCUGCCUGGGUGUCACG
rnacentral:rRNA from 1 species